rnacentral:rRNA from 1 species
AACGAACGCUGGCGGCAUGCCUAACACAUGCAAGUCGAACGAAGUCUUCGGACUUAGUGGCGCACGGGUGCGUAACGCGUGGGAAUCUGCCCUUGGGUGCGGAAUAACUUCUCGAAAGGGAUGCUAAUACCGCAUAAUGUCGUAAGACCAAAGAUUUAUCGCCCAAGGAUGAGCCCGCGUAAGAUUAGCUAGUUGGUGGGGUAAAAGCCUACCAAGGCGACGAUCUUUAGCUGGUCUGAGAGGAUGAUCAGCCACACUGGGACUGAGACACGGCCCAGACUCCUACGGGAGGCAGCAGUGGGGAAUAUUGGACAAUGGCGAAAGCCUGAUCCAGCAAUGCCGCGUGAGUGAUGAAGGCCCUAGGGUUGUAAAGCUCUUUUACCAGGGAUGAUAAUGACAGUACC